UAACUCAUGGAAUAAACGGAACGGGAAAAAUAACGAAAAAAACGGAGCAAACAGAAUUGCCAUCUGUUAUCGCCUGCGUGAAUCCCGCUAAUUGAGUUACGUGUAUUUGAUUUUGACUGCUUGCCGUUCGCGUGACCCGCGGGACGGUUGAACUUUGCAACCGGGCCUUUCUCGGACUAGACCAGGGGGGAUUGGGCAAUUUAUCGGUUCGAUAUUUUGCACAGGCCUUCUCGUUCAAAAGCAAGUCAACAACUCACCCAGCGCCAGUCGAGCUUUGAGUGCGUAAAUAUGCCGUGAGAUCUCGUUUCGCUGGCAUGCUCUUCCGGGUCUUCUGUUCUCUUCUGCUCAGAUGUGCUAUGGAAACUAAUUCUGGACUGCAACCGGCUGCUAUUUAUAUAGAUAGGGGCCUUAUCGAGUCACGUCCGUUUUGACACUACGUGCUGUUUCGAUUUGACUUCAUGGCAAGUGAACGUGACAAGGUAUUCUCGGCUAUAUGGAAAGACAAGUUUGUUGGGAGCCUAGUUUGGAAUUUCUAAAGUGUCUUGGAGUUUUGGUGAACGAAGUUUCACCAUUUUACGGGCUAAAUGUGGUUGUGGCGUGAGCCACCGAGUGUGACGUCAUCAGAGGAACUGAACCAUUCACAAGGCAGCUUCAGUCAGCUAAUACCCUGUAGAUGUCACGCUGAAUGCAACCCUGCUGGAAGCUUGGAAAUACACACAGGAGUGUAAAGUGCAAUUGAAUUAAGUCAUUGUACGUACAGCAUAAAUUCCCAGUUUCUUUCUUGCUGUACAUCGCAACCGAAAAAACUUGUCGAAUUAACCCAAUCAUUACUGUAAACAGCUCCAUAAAUGCUCCUAUCUCCGAGACUUCACAAAAAAUAACUCUUGCACGCCUUGCGUGCCUAUGUUUUUUUACGUUAUAAAUAACCCUCUACUCCUUAGACUGCCAUCUGUGAAUUUUCGCCGGGGAAAUAGAACAGAUUCGUAUUGCCGGUAUUGGACUGGAAAAAGCUUGCAAUGGAGGCUCAUGCGACUCCCCACAUUAGCCUCAGUUGCAAGCUAGUUUCAGUCCAAUACCGCUAAUACGAAUAUGGUUUAUUGUCUUGUAAAGAUCUGCUCAUUGAAAGCAUAAGAAUGUGACCACGCGGCCAAGUUUCCAAUUUCUUUUUUGAGAUGCACACGGACUGCAGGACUCGUUUCAAAUCAAGCUACAUACCAAGACCUGAGAAAUAGAGCUAUAGUUGAGGGGUAUACCUCAUAUGAAUUUUGAGCGCUGAUAUGCUUUGGAAGUUUUUCAGUUGGACAGUGUGAACACAGGCAGAGUCUUUAUUGGCUGAUUUGGGAGGGAAAACCUGCCGUUCGCAUUAGGGGUACCUUGGUUAAAGCAGCUGCGUUCAAAGUAUUGCUAUUCAUCUCAAAAUAAGUGUGGCCUAGGGCUUGUUACUAGAAACAAUUGGCACAGAUUUCAGUUUUACAAGAUUCUCUGAUAAGAUAAUCCCAAUUUUCCCAGAGGAUUCUUUCCAAUGUCAAUUUUCUCAGAUUCUCAAUAAACUUUCUCAACCUUUGAGGAAUUUUCCCUGAGCACUUAAAUGGGACAGAUUCCAGACUGCAAGAUUUUCAAGUCACUAAAAAAUUUAUUGUCAAUAACAAAUUCUAAGAGUUACAAUGCAACAUAUGUUAACAUAUUAACAUAACAAGACUAAAAGAGACAAUUAUAUCCUCAAUGUUAUGAGAAAUUGGAUCUUGAUAACAAUCUACCAAUAUCAUCUCAUGCAAAAUGGCAGUUAAUCAACC